GUGGGAUGACGUCAAGUCCUCAUGGCCUUAUGCCCAGGGCUACACACGUGCUACAAUGGGCGGUACAAAGAGAAGCAACCUCGCGAGGGUGAGCAAAUCUCAAAAAGCCGUUCUCAGUUCGGAUUGAAGUCUGCAACUCGACUUCAUGAAGUCGGAAUCGCUAGUAAUCGCGGAUCAGCAUGCCGCGGUGAAUACGUUCCCGGGCCUU
rnacentral:rRNA from 1 species